GAUGAACGCUGGCGGCGUGCCUAAUACAUGCAAGUCGAGCGAAUGGAUUAAGAGCUUGCUCUUAUGAAGUUAGCGGCGGACGGGUGAGUAACACGUGGGUAACCUGCCCAUAAGACUAGGAUAACUCCGGGAAACCGGGGCUAAUACCGGAUAACAUUUUGAACCGCAUGGUUCGAAAUUGAAAGGCGGCUUCGGCUGUCACUUAUGGAUGGACCCGCGUCGCAUUAGCUAGUUGGUGAGGUAACGGCUCACCAAGGCAGCGAUGCGUAGCCGACCUGAGAGGGUGAUCGGCCACACGGGGACUGAGACACGGCCCAGACUCCUACGGGAGGCAGCAGUAGGGAAUCUUCCGCAAUGGACGAAAGUCUGACGGAGCAACGCCGCGUGAGUGAUGAAGGCUUUCGGGUCGUAAAACUCUGUUGUUAGGGAAGAACAAGUGCUAGUUGAAUAAGCUGGCACCUUGACGGUACCUAACCAGAAAGCCACGGCUAACUACGUGCCAGCAGCCGCCGUAA
rnacentral:rRNA from 1 species